rnacentral:misc_RNA from 1 species
CAACCCUCAAGCCCUGCUUGGUGUUGGGGACCUACGCACCGCCGUAGGCCCCGAAAACUAGUGGCGGGCUCGCUAAAGUCCUGAGCGCAGUAGCACAUCUCGCUUAUGGUGUUUUAGUGGGUGCCGGCCGUUAAACCCCCAACUUUAAACA